rnacentral:rRNA from 1 species
UACGUAGGGGGCAAGCGUUGUCCGGAUUUAUUGGGCGUAAAGAGCUCGUAGGCGGCUCGGUAAGUCGGAUGUGAAACCUCCAGGCUCAACCUGGAGACGCCAUCUGAUACUGCCGUGGCUUGAGUCCGGUAGAGGAGCAGGGAAUUCCUGGUGUAGCGGUGAAAUGCGCAGAUAUCAGGAGGAACACCGAUGGCGAAGGCAGGUCACUGGGCCGCAACUGACGCUGAGGAGCGAAAGCAUGGGGAGCGAACAGG